rnacentral:rRNA from 1 species
AGGACGAACGCUGGCGGUGUGCUUCACACAUGCAAGUCGAACGGGGUAGCAAUACCCAGUGGCGGACGGGUGAGUAACGCGUGGGAAUCUGCCUAAAAAUGGGGGAUAGCUGGCCGAAAGGCUAAUUAAUACCGCAUAGGCCUAUAUUUCGACAGUUUUAUAGGUUAAAGGAGUAAUCCGUUUUUAGAUGAGCCCGCGUCCGAUUAGCUAGUUGGUAGGGUAAAGGCCUACCAAGGCUACGAUCGGUAGGUGGCCCGAGAGGGCGAUCACCCACAAUGGAACUGAGACACGGUCCAUACUCCUACGGGAGGCAGCAGUGGGGAAUUUUACGCAAUGGGCGAAAGCCUGACGUAGCGACACCGCGUGAACGAAGAAGCCUUUUGGGGUGUAAAGUUCUGUCGGCUGGGAAGAAAAAAAUAGACGGUACCAGCAAAGGAAGCAUCGGCUAACUACGUGCCAGCAGCCGC